rnacentral:rRNA from 1 species
GUCUUUAAGUAUUUCCUUUAAAGUCUAGUCUGCCCACUGAUAUUAAAUUAAAGGGCCGCGGUAAUUUGACCGUGCGAAGGUAGCAUAAUCAUUUGUCUCUUAAUUUGAGGCUGGAAUGAAUGGCUGGAUGAGGGGCUAAGUGUCUUUAUUCUAGGAUUAAAAUUUUACCUUUAAGUGAAAAGGCUUAAAUUAAAUUAAGUGAAGAUAAGACCCUAUAAAACUUAUAUAUACGGUAUAGUAAUAUAAUUUUCUUGAUUUUGUUUAAAGAAAGAUAUUUUUUGUAUAUUUUGUUGGGGCGACAGAAAUAGAAGUGAGUAUCUGUUUUUUUAAUUAGUUAGUAAUUGUUAUUAAAUGAGCCUUUAUUAUGGAUUAGAAGAAUAAGUUACUUUAGGGAUAACAGCGUUAUUUUCUUUGAGAGAUCUAAUCGACAAGAGUAGUUGCGACCUCGAUGUUGAAUUAAAAUUUUCU